UACGGGGGGGGCAAGCGUUGUUCGGAAUUACUGGGCGUAAAGGGCGCGUAGGUGGCCUGUUAAGUCGGGUGUGAAAACUCUGGGCUCAACCCAGAGCCUGCAUUCGAUACUGAUGGGCUAGAGUUCUGGAGGGGAAAGCGGAAUUCCUGGUGUAGCGGUGAAAUGCGUAGAUAUCAGGAGGAACACCGGUGGCGAAGGCGGCUUUCUGGACAGAAACUGACACUGAGGCGCGAAAGCUAGGGGAGCAAACAGG
rnacentral:rRNA from 1 species